CAAGAGGCAAGGGAGAGGCCGUGGCAGGCGCACUCACUGAACCUGGACUGGCUCGCUCCCUCACACACACACACUGAGUUUCUCUCUCUCUCACUUCUCCUCUGAGUCUCCUCUCCUCCUCCUCCUCCACCUCUUCCCUAUUCCUUCGUUCGCUCGCUCGCUCGCCGGACGGACGGACGACGGGACGCGAAACCCCGACAACCCGAUUCGCUCCCGCUGCCAGUACUUCUCUGGCGUCCGACGGGAGGGGACGCACGCUCUCCGCUCUCGCUUCGUCUGACUUGUGUGUGUCCCGCGCUCGCCGAUUUUGUCGCCGUGUACCUUUCUGUGGGAUUGGCUUAGGAAAAAUAGAUUAGAUUGGAAAAAUCUCCUCAGCAGCGACUCGACUGGAGGUUUCGUCGUAUACUUUUGAGAUUAGUGUGUGAUUUGUGGCGUGUUUAUUUUCCCUUUUUUUCUUCCAAAAUUCUGUAGUGGAGUUCCUGGCAAUACGCUGAGAGAGAGAGAGAGAGGAAGAAGCAAUUCAAGAAACACAAAUAAUUUCCAUUUUUUUCUUUCACUUCAAUGUUUUUUUAAAACAAGAAAAUAAAAAAAAUCACGAAAUGAGCGUGGAGGAGCUCUCUCGUUGCUGAAGUGUGUGGAGUGAGGUUCCCAUGUGUAAAAAGCCUAUAGUUGCCACACACACGUUCCUCAUCUACCUGCAUGUUGCCUGGCGUGCUGUCAGUGAAUUGUGAGAUUUCUAGACACGGGCUUCACACUGCAACCCGGAGAACAGAUUUCGGAAAACAGAAUUAGAUACGCGACCUCCAAAAAGGGGGAAAUGCUUGGGAGCCAGACGCGGGUACUCCAGCAAAUGUGAAUGAAGCUGUGUUUCCCCACCUUUUCCCGGAAUUAAACAGUGUUGCUAAAACAGAGAAAAAGUCUGAGAUAACGAUUAAAAAAAAAACAAAAAACAAUAAUAAACUAACCAGCAAACACGUGGCAAUAACAACAAAAAACAAACGACGAUAAAUCAAAAUACUCCGAACACAGUGACACCAAGAAAGAAAACGGAAGGACACUAAAACAACAGUAAACAAAAAAUCUCGCCUACACAAGACCGGCCUCAGCGACACCAGCCACCGCGAGGAAGCCGACCGAACGACCCCGCCAGUGACAACGGGCAAAACCGCUUCCAUUGAUAUAUCAUCUCAUUAAAGGUGGGUUCGUGGUUGAGUUCGUCCGCCUUUUCUGUCCUGCAUCGGAGAGAGAGAGAGAGAGA